rnacentral:lncRNA from 1 species
CGGUGCUUUUUCCUAAAAUAAUAGAAGACAUAAGAUAAGUCUUCACGAAAGGCAUGUACUUGACUCCAAGACUCAUAACCUAUAUAACUACGGUUUCGCAACCGCAGGGCCAAGCCAGCAAGCACAAACAACGAAGGGGUGAGUUCCGAGAACAUGUAAUAGUAUAAAAAAAAUGAAAAGAACAUGUAAGCAACUAAGUCAAAGUCCUAUCACAUCACAAACAUAAUAUUCAGAACCUUGAAGAAUAUACUAUAUCAUCUUAAUCCAUAUUAGUAGAAAAUAUCAUUACAGCUUAAGAACCAAAAAGCUUCACAAACACAAUGUCACAAUUCAAUUCCAAACUAGUCACAAGACAUAUAGUCACCAAUAACCAUCUUCAUAAGAACAUCAAAAGAUAAUCACCUUCAUCGUCUCACACAAUUACACUUAUUCACCAAAUACAAAUCAUCGUCAAAUUUUAUGCAUAUGGACUCAUUCCUAAGACCUAUAUGAAUGUAGUACCACACCUAUCGUCAUAAUUUUCCAGAGGUAUGUUACUCGACUAUCAUCGUCAUAAUUUUUCAGAGAUAAGUUACUGGACUUUCAUCGAUGUCAUUUCGUCAUCAUGAUUCCUAAACACAACUCUAUAUGCAUGUAUGAGAGAGACUCUUCAAGUAUUAAAAUAUCAUAACAUCAUCAACAAAUCAAAAUCAUAAAUGCAGACUCUUCCUAUUAUGCACAACAUCAAGACAAAACACAUCAUUGUCAUUCACAUCGUUAUCAUAAGUAAACAUCGUCAUUCUCAUCAUCAAUGUAUAUUAUACAUCAUCAUUCAAAUUAUCAUCAUAAAUAUACGUCAUCAUUCUCAUCGUCAAUAUAAAUUAGAGAUGGUCAUUAUCGUCAUCAAUAUAAAAUAGACAUUCAUUUUAUCAUCAUCGAUAUAAUUAGUAACAUCACCCUCAUCAUCAUUAUAAAAUGAACGUCAUGAAUAUGUCUGAAUGAAGUCAAACCAAAACUAAAAGAAAUUUAAUACAUAUAUCUACAACUUUCAUGAAGAACUCUAUAUCCAAUUCGAUACUGAGAGGGGUGAAAAGGUUGGUUUGCCAAAACCUAGACAGAAUGUACGACCGUGCUGAACUCUGUGUAGUAUUUUGAUCAUAACUCAAGUUUUUGACGUUCUAUUGUAGUCUCUCCAAAGCCACAUGAAAAUUGACAUCCAUAUCUACAACUUUUAUGUUUACAUCAAAACCUAGUUCAGAACAUAAAAUAGUCAAAAAUUGAUUUUCCUAAGCCUCGGAAAAGAGCACGACCCUGUUGACCCAUGUGUAGUAUUUUGAUCAUAUCUUGAGUUCUAGAUUUUGGAAUGUGGCCGGACAAACUCCCAAUUAAAGUUAACACUCAUAUCUACAACUUUCAUGAAGACACCAAAUCCUAACUAUUAACAUAAAACCCCGGUGUUUAUUUUUGUUUUCGGUUACAAAAAUCACAGAUUUUCUGCGAUUUCGCCUUAGGGGACCUUUCCUAACUUCGCUUUUGACCCUAAACUCACCAAACUCGACCCUAAUAUUCACUCUAUGAUUACCUAUCAUUCAAACACUAUUCAUUUGUUAACCUUCCGGAUUAUUCAUUAUUUUUAAGAUUAUACAAGAGAGCAUAGAGAACUGAAGGACAACAACAAAUCUGAACAACUGAUUGUAUACACGUUUCCUCUUCAUUAAUUUCGAAUCUAUCAAACCAAUGAUCCAAUUUGCUUCACUCACGGUGCGGCUGAUUGAAGAUUUUGGCAACAUAUUUUGUGUAACGCCUCUUAAUCUAAUGGAAUGUGCAUCACGCUUCUAACCCAAUGGGAUGGGAUGUGUCUAUAUAUACUAAAAAUUUGGGCUUUUUGAUCACAUUUAUAUAUUGUGGUUAAGGUCAUCCGUAUUACAAAAUUAUUUAAAAAGGCCAGUGAACUUGAAGAUUUCGGUUGUUAGUGCCUACUUUUAUCCUACAAAUCAAUCUACAAAGUUACUCUCGUAGUUAACCAAUUGUAGAAGCAUUAAGAACAUGUAGCAGUCUAAUUUAAAUCUCAACACAAAUAAAAUAAAUAAAUUAAAUGAAAACUUUAUUAAUAAAUUCCAACAAAUAAGAAGGGAUUCAUCGUGGAACCCUGAUCAAGAGGUUUAGUUGCUCAUGGCAACAUACAUCAUAACACGAGUCCCUGCUUCGGAUAUUGUAAAAAAUCAUCAAUGGUCUUAAUUUCCAUGACGUAUGCAGAUAACGGUACAACACAUAUAUCAACUCGUUCCUUGUCUGAACACGUCGAAACUUUAUUAUUUAACAUUCUACUUGUUGGUGGUUGUUGGUAUACGUACCCUCUCACUUGUAUUAUUAAAUCACAACAUCAUUCUAAUAUACAUUUUGUCAUAAAAUUUAUCAUACAGUACUUUAAUUCUUAAAUAAAUUCGUUGUCACCUCUUCGAUGCAUUAUUUGUAAAACCAAUUUUUUUAACAUUUAUUAUUGUUUGUGUCUCUUUUGGCACUUCGC